rnacentral:rRNA from 1 species
GACGUAGGUGGCGAACGUUAUCCGGAAUCAUUGGGCGUAAAGGGUGCGUAGAUGGCAUGAUAAGUUAUUAGUGGGAAAUCGAGGCUCAACCUCGUGGAAGCUAGUAAUACUGUUUUUGCUUGAGUACAGAAGAGGUUAACGGAACUCCAUGUGGAGCGGUAAAAUGCGUAGAUAUAAUGGAAGAACACCAAUAACGGCGAAGGCAGUUAACUAUUCUGUUACUGACAUUGAGGCACGAAAGCGUGGGGAGCAAAACGG